AUGCAGUCGAGCGGAGAUGAGGUGCUUGCACCUUAUCUUAGCGGCGGACGGGUGAGUAAUGCUUAGGAAUCUGCCUAUUAGUGGGGGACAACAUUCCGAAAGGAAUGCUAAUACCGCAUACGUCCUACGGGAGAAAGCAGGGGAUCUUCGGACCUUGCGCUAAUAGAUGAGCCUAAGUCGGAUUAGCUAGUUGGUGGGGUAAAGGCCUACCAAGGCGAGAUCUGUAGCGGGUCUGAGAGGAUGAUCCGCCACACUGGGACUGAGACACGGCCCAGACUCCUACGGGAAGCAGCAGUGGGGAAUAUUGGACAAUGGGGGGAACCCUGAUCCAGCCAUGCCGCGUGUGUGAAGAAGGCCUUAUGGUUGUAAAGCACUUUAAGCGAGGAGGAGGCUACUGAGACUAAUACUCUUGGAUUGUGGACGUUACUCGCAGAAUAAGCACCGGCUAACUCUGUGCCAGCAGCCGCGGUAAUACAGAGGGUGCGAGCGUUAAUCGGAUUUACUGGGCGUAAAGCGUGCGUAGGCGGCUUUUUAAGUCGGAUGUGAAAUCCCCGAGCUUAACUUGGGAAUUGCAUUCGAUACUGGGAAGCUAGAGUAUGGGAGAGGAUGGUAGAAUUCCAGGUGUAGCGGUGAAAUGCGUAGAGAUCUGGAGGAAUACCGAUGGCGAAGGCAGCCAUCUGGCCUAAUACUGACGCUGAGGUACGAAAGCAUGGGGAGCAAACAGGAUUAGAUACCCUGGUAGUCCAUGCCGUAAACGAUGUCUACUAGCCGUUGGGGCCUUUGAGGCUUUAGUGGCGCAGCUAACGCGAUAAGUAGACCGCCUGGGGAGUACGGUCGCAAGACUAAAACUCAAAUGAAUUGACGGGGGCCCGCACAAGCGGUGGAGCAUGUGGUUUAAUUCGAUGCAACGCGAAGAACCUUACCUGGGCCUUGACAUACUAGAAACUUUCCAGAGAUGGAUUGGUGCCUUCGGGAAUCUAGAUAC
rnacentral:rRNA from 1 species